UACGUAGGCAGCAAGCGUUGUUCGGAGUUACUGGGCGUAAAAGGGUGCGUAGGCGGCUUUUUUAAGUUUGGUGUGAAAAUCUCCCGGCUCAACUGGGAGGGUGCGCCGAAUACUGAGAGGCUAGAGUGCGGGAGAGGAAAGUGGAAUUCCUGGUGUAGCGGUGAAAUGCGCAGAUAUCAGGAGGAACACCGGUGGCGAAGGCGGGGUCUCUGGGGCCGAUACUGACGCUGAGGAGCGAAAAGCGUGGGGAGCGAACAGGAUAGAUACCCUGGUAAGUCCCA
rnacentral:rRNA from 1 species